rnacentral:rRNA from 1 species
GACGAACGCUGGCGGCGUGCCUAAUACAUGCAAGUAGAACGCUGAAGGAGGAGCUUGCUUCUCUGGAUGAGUUGCGAACGGGUGAGUAACGCGUAGGUAACCUGCCUGGUAGCGGGGGAUAACUAUUGGAAACGAUAGCUAAUACCGCAUAAGAGUAGAUGUUGCAUGACAUUUGCUUAAAAGGUGCAAUUGCAUCACUACCAGAUGGACCUGCGUUGUAUUAGCUAGUUGGUGGGGUAACGGCUCACCAAGGCGACGAUACAUAGCCGACCUGAGAGGGUGAUCGGCCACACUGGGACUGAGACACGGCCCAGACUCCUACGGGAGGCAGCAGUAGGGAAUCUUCGGCAAUGGACGGAAGUCUGACCGAGCAACGCCGCGUGAGUGAAGAAGGUUUUCGGAUCGUAAAGCCCUGUUGUAAGAGAAGAACGAGUGUGAGAGUGGAAAGUUCACACUGUGACGGUAUCUUACCAGAAAGGGACGGCUAACUACGU